rnacentral:lncRNA from 1 species
UUCCUGUUUCAUUGAAUCUGCAAUGGUGGUUUCUGGGUUUUGGUAUUUCUGUUAAUGAGAUUUGAGGGAGGUUACGGUGUUUGACAGAAAGUUGGGGUUUUGGGUUUUGCUAGACGGUCCAAUCUGGGUUGAGUGUGUGGUUGUUUUUGUUUUGGUAUUUUUGUGGGUAAUUGUUCUUGACAUCUUUGGCUAUAUCUGAUGUGAGAGUAGGUUAGAUCUGUAUUUGUGCUAACUGAUGUGGGUUUUAGGGUUUGGGAUGGCCAACGUCAUAGAGAUUUCGAGCAGUGAGGAUUCUGGGUCUGACGUGUCGUUCAGCGU